AUCUACUUGGUCAAAUAUAUUUCUCUAAACCCUAUCACCAAACGAUUUCCCCAUAUCUCCACUCCCUAAAACCUCUCCAACAAACCAAAUCUCCACAGAAUUAUUAUACUACUCCAUAUUAGAUUCAAAUCUACAAUUUAUAUGAGAAUAUAUAUAUACCCAAACCAUUCCACAAAUUUUUACCUUUCCUCCAAAUUCUGAGAUAGCAAAAGGGAAAAAUCGAGCAGCCGGUGAAUCCAAAUCCUCCCUGCGAUCUCAAUUUGUUCUCCUCAUUCCAAAGGUGAUUCCUUGCAAGCGAGACGUGAUAUCAAGGGAAGGGAAAUAAUUUCGAAUUAAGGACUUAGGCGAACGAGGUUGAGCGUGACGGGUGCGGUGGGUGUUGAGCAAGACCGUUGAA